rnacentral:rRNA from 1 species
GAUGAACGCUGGCGGCGUGCCUAAUACAUGCAAGUCGAGCGAACAGACGAGGAGCUUGCUCCUCUGACGUUAGCGGCGGACGGGUGAGUAACACGUGGAUAACCUACCUAUAAGACUGGGAUAACUUCGGGAAACCGGAGCUAAUACCGGAUAAUAUAUUGAACCGCAUGGUUCAAUAGUGAAAGACGGUUUUGCUGUCACUUAUAGAUGGAUCCGCGCCGCAUUAGCUAGUUGGUAAGGUAACGGCUUACCAAGGCAACGAUGCGUAGCCGACCUGAGAGGGUGAUCGGCCACACUGGAACUGAGACACGGUCCAGACUCCUACGGGAGGCAGCAGUAGGGAAUCUUCCGCAAUGGGCGAAAGCAUGACGGAGCAACGCCGCGUGAGUGAUGAAGGUCUUCGGAUCGUAAAGCUCUGUUAUUAGGGAAGAACAAAUGUGUAAGUAACUAUGCACGUCUUGACGGUACCUAAUCAGAAAGCCACGGCUAACUACGUG